rnacentral:rRNA from 1 species
GUCCACGCCCUAAACGAUGGAUACUCGACAUCAGCGAUACACUGUUGGUGUCUGAGCGAAAGCAUUAAGUAUCCCACCUGGGAAGUACGACCGCAAGGUUGAAACUCAAAGGAAUUGGCGAGGGUCCGCACAAGCGGUGGAGCAUGUGGUUUAAUUCGAUGAUACGCGAGGAACCUUACCUGGGCUAGAAUGUAGUCUGACCGUGGGUGAAAGCUCACUUUGUAGCAAUACACAGAUUAUAAGGUGCUGCAUGGCUGUCGU